rnacentral:rRNA from 1 species
UACAGAGGGGGCAAGCGUUGUUCGGAAUUACUGGGCGUAAAGGGCGCGUAGGCGGCCUUCUAAGUCGAACGUGAAAUCCCCGGGCUCAACCCGGGAACUGCGUCCGAUACUGGAAGGCUUGAAUCCGGGAGAGGGAUGCGGAAUUCCAGGUGUAGCGGUGAAAUGCGUAGAUAUCUGGAGGAACACCGGUGGCGAAGGCGGGUCUCUGGACAGUUCCUGACGCUGAAGCACGAAGGCCAGGGGAGCAAACGGG